AGAGUUUGAUCCUGGCUCAGGACGAACGCUGGCGGCGUGCCUAAUACAUGCAAGUCGAGCGAGCUGAAUUCAAAGAUUCCUUCGGGAUGAUUUGUUGGACGCUAGCGGCGGAUGGGUGAGUAACACGUGGGCAAUCUGCCCUAAAGACUGGGAUACCACUUGGAAACAGGUGCUAAUACCGGAUAACAACAUGAAUCGCAUGAUUCAAGUUUGAAAGGCGGCGCAAGCUGUCACUUUAGGAUGAGCCCGCGGCGCAUUAGCUAGUUGGUGGGGUAAAGGCCUACCAAGGCAAUGAUGCGUAGCCGAGUUGAGAGACUGAUCGGCCACAUUGGGACUGAGACACGGCCCAAACUCCUACGGGAGGCAGCAGUAGGGAAUCUUCCACAAUGGACGCAAGUCUGAUGGAGCAACGCCGCGUGAGUGAAGAAGGUUUUCGGAUCGUAAAGCUCUGUUGUUGGUGAAGAAGGAUAGAGGCAGUAACUGGUCUCUAUUUGACGGUAAUCAACCAGAAAGUCACGGCUAACUACGUGCCAGCAGCCGCGGUAAUACGUAGGUGGCAAGCGUUGUCCGGAUUUAUUGGGCGUAAAGCGAGCGCAGGCGGAAUGAUAAGUCUGAUGUGAAAGCCCACGGCUCAACCGUGGAACUGCAUCGGAAACUGUCAUUCUUGAGUGCAGAAGAGGAGAGUGGAACUCCAUGUGUAGCGGUGGAAUGCGUAGAUAUAUGGAAGAACACCAGUGGCGAAGCGGCUCUCUGGUCUGCAACUGACGCUGAGGCUCGAAAGCAUGGGUAGCGAACAGGAUUAGAUACCCUGGUAGUCCAUGCCGUAACGAUGAGCGCUAGGUGUUGGGGACUUUCCGGGUCCUCAUGCCGCAGCAAACGCAUUAAGCGCUCCGCCUGGGGAUUACGACCGCAAGGUUGAAACUCGAACGAAAUUGAACGGGGCCGCACAAGCGUUGAGCAUGUGGUUUAAUUCUAAACAACGCGAAAACCUUACCAGGUCUUGACAUCCUGUGCACAGCUAGAGAAUAGCUGGUUUCUCUUCGAAAGACCAAAAACGGGGUGGUGGCCAUGCUGGCCUUUCA
rnacentral:rRNA from 1 species